rnacentral:rRNA from 1 species
UUUGGUGGCGAUGCGCUUAGGGGUAACACCCGUUCCCAUCCCGAACACGAUGGUAAAGACCUAAGCGGCCGAUGGUACUGCACUGGAGACGGUGUGGGAGAGUAGGUG